CUGGUCUUGACUGCAGGAAUCCAUCAGGAACACUCUCUUGUCACGUCUCUCUGAUGGCUGGAUAGGCUCUACAAACCACAGGAUAUAAUUAGGUUUGUUGUGCAAAUACCUGGUGGGCAGGUGUUGAACUUCAGACCAGACUCUGCAGGUUGCAGCAGCCUUUCUAUGAGUCCACGGGAGAGAAGAGAGGGAGAGAAAAUGACCGGACGCUUAGUCGGAACCUGCACUGGCUGCACCACGCUGGUUGAUGUUGCGUUCCCGGAACACUUUUCCCGGAUCUUACGUUUGCUGAGUGUGUAAAGGACGUGCUGUGUGGAACCAAUGCCACGGCAACCGGGGUCGACUGCCUUGACCAGUCGUACACGUCCGGAUGGUUUCUUC